CACCUACUAAAGGAGUUCCAGUGAAACCGACUGCUUACUGUUCUAAAUGAUUGCACUACAUCAAAGAAAAAGAAAAGAUGGUCAGCGCUGAUUGACACAAAUCACAGCAGGAAGAGAAGAGGAGCAAUAACAGAGAUAGUUACCUGAAGGCCAUGACGACAUCUUGGGACCCUUUUGGUGUAAAAUAAGUACAUCAAAAUGACCUGACGCUGUAAGUGAAAACUAGAAAAGGAUUUAAAAAAAAUUUGAAAGUUGCAACUAAAACUGUUUCUUUGUUGAUUUUGAAAUGUCUUUGUGUGACAGUACCAGCUGAAAAUGAAAGUGACCGACUGAAAGAAGUACUAAAGUAGUGAAUGACGUUUAAAUAAGUUAAACUUCCAACACUGAAUGGAGUUAAAGUGAAGGCACCGAAGGAAGUUGUGAUGUCAGUUGAAGUGAAGUCCUCAAAAGAAUUGGUGGCAGUUGAAGUGUGUGAAUCUAUCACACAUCAUAAUACUUACGACAUAGAAAUCAGUUUAAGUUGACAUGAAUGACAUUCAUGCGUUAGUUUAAAGAGCUGAGUGAAGUCGAAGAGUCAGUUGAAGCUCCAACACUGAAAGGAGUUGAAGUGGACGUGCUGAAGGAAGUUGUGAUGUCAGUUGAAGUGAUAAAAGGAGCCAGAAGUGUCAGUUGCAAAGUAAAAACUUAUGUAAAAACUUAAGCGGAUGUAAUUUGAAGUAAAUCUAUCAAAUUAUACACAUCACGUUAAAACAAGCAAGCACUGAAUGAAGUGUCAGUUUAAGUCACCAAGUGACCAUUUUUAUCUAUGACAUUGAAUGUUUCUUUAAAUCUUGACCACUGGUUGUUAACAUUUAUGACCUUGAAUCACACGUCUUAAUGUAGCUUUGUUAUUAACUUCAUUAACAUUACCCCCAUUCCCGAAGGCUCGGUGUGUGUGUGUGUGUGUGUGUGUGUGUGUUACUAAGGUACGAGAUCACAAAUUGAUUUUUCCUGUUCCUACACAUUAAUCUCUCCGUUUCAAGCAGUGAAACUAUCUUACAGUGUAAUUUCAUCGUAUGAAUAAGGUAACAUAAAAUACUUAACCGGCCUUACUGGUAUUUAAAUGUAAGAAUUGGGUUUUUUAGAGAAAAAGAGAAAGUAUUAGUCAAUUAUUCGACUAAGAUCGCUUUUUGUGUGAAAAAAAGGUAAUUUUCUUUAUGUUUUUUACAUGCUGUGUAACUUACUGUAUUUCCAAGAAACUUAUGAGUGCUUUUGCAUGACUCUUUGUGGAGAAACUCAGUUUUACAGAUCUGUUGAUUAAAUCAACUAAUUAUUGGACAAAAUCGUAUGAAUCGACUGAGAAUUUCAGCCGUAGUAAAUACUGCGUACCUACCCCAGUAUUUCCAGAAACACUUGCCAUGUAUUUAACUUUUUCUCUAAAUUGUUACUACCAUUUUUCUUUUCUUUCACUGUAUCUACAUUUAAGGAACCAGUAGGAACUCUUUUUUUCUUGGUACAUGAUUCAUACAACUAAAUUACUUUUUCUGUCUGUUAGGUAAAAUUACAGUUCAAUAUCAUUAUUGAUUGAACUUUUUUUAAACUAUUAUUGUUAAAUCAUUAUUAUCUGUACUACUCCGUACAUGCCUCUGAAAAUUGCCCCCUGGGGACAAAUUAAGUGUUUUGAAUUGAAUCUUCCAGGUUUAAAUUGUUCAUAAAUUGGUUAUUUUUUCAAUGUGUUGUGUCAUCUAAUACAGAAAUAGGAUAAAGAAAGAUGAUCGCAGCCCACCAUUAAUGUAAAUAUUUUUGGAGCACAUCAAUAAAAUGUUUCAUGUAAACUAUAAUUAUUAUUGAUAAGCAGUUGUGUUUGAAAAGGGGUGAGAACCACCACUCAGCCAGUUGUAAAACUUUUUCUGGGGCUCUGAAGGGGGAUUUCAAAAGUUAAGGCAAAAUCUUAAGGCCUUACAGUUAAUAGGAAGGAUUUUUUUUAUUAAAUUCUUAAUUGUCAAUUGCCAAUGAUAUGGGAAUGCUGUGGAAUUGAAGAGUUUUGAAGUCACUCUAUAACACUGCUUAACCAAUCAAAGAGGAGCAUGUGUGUGCGCGUGCAUGGGUGCGGGUGUCUGUGUGUGUUGUGCGUCUGUGCGUAUGCGUGUCUGUGUGUGUGCAUGGCAAGGGACAGGUGUGUCAGAUGUUUGUUUAUAUUGUGUCAUGUCUUUUUGAUAACUGCAGGAGCGUGACCUUACAGAUGUUUAUAUGUUAUUCUGUCAGUUGUUAGAGCAGGUGAUGCAAGGAAAUGUUCUGUGUGAACAGACUAUAAAGUUCUAUAUUAUCUUAACGGACUGUAAAAAAUAUGCACCGGGGAA